GUCCAUGCCCUAAACGAUGUCAACUGGUUGUUGGGAAUUAACUUUCUCAGUAACGAAGCUAACGCGUGAAGUUGACCGCCUGGGGAGUACGGCCGCAAGGUUGAAACUCAAAGGAAUUGACGGGACCCGCACAAGCGGUGGAUGAUGUGGUUUAAUUCGAUGCAACGCGAAAACCUUACCCACCUUUGACAUGGUUGGAAUUUGCCAGAGAUGGCUUAGUGCUCGAAAGAGAACCAAUACACAGGUGCUGCAUGGCUGUCGU
rnacentral:rRNA from 1 species